rnacentral:misc_RNA from 1 species
AACUUUCAACAAUGGAUCUCUUGGUUCUGGCAUCGAUGAAGAACGCAGCGAAAUGCGAUAAGUAGUGUGAAUUGCAGAAUUCAGUGAAUCAUCGAAUCUUUGAACGCACAUUGCGCCCCUUGGUAUUCCAUGGGGCAUGCCUGUUCGAGCGUCAUUUGAACCCUCAAGCUCUGCUUGGUGUUGGGUGUUUGUCCCGCCAGCGUGCGUGGACUCGCCUUAAAGUCAUUGGCAGCCGGCCGCCUCGGCUCGGAGCGCAGCAGAUUCAGCGCAUCGAAGUCGGGAGCGGUGGCACCCAGAAGCUCUUAUUUUCUACGUUUGACCUCGGAUCAGGUAGGGAUACCCGCUGAACUUAAGCAUAUCAAUAAGCGGAGGAAAAGAAACCAACAGGGAUUGCCCUAGUAACGGCGAGUGAAGCGGCA